rnacentral:lncRNA from 1 species
AUGGACUUCCCCCAGAAGAGACUUUGUGUCGCCCUUCUGAAAAGGGAAAGUGCAUCCACGCCUUGGAGACAUUACGUUAGCUGCUUGGUGCACCUGGGGGAGACACGUGAGGCCCUACAGGGAUGCCGUAGGUACAAAACGCAGUUACACGACCAGAAACACCUUACGGGAGGGUUACAGAUGGCCAAGCAACACCCCCCCCCCCCCCCGCCCCCCUUUUUUUUUUUCUCUACACCUUUCAUUUUCUGUCCCGAGCCUCUCGCAGGCACGCGGCUGGGGCCAGGGACGCCUAAAAGCGGGGUGCCGGCACCCCCCUGCCUUCCCUCCCACCUCACCUGCCUCCCUCCUCACCUCCCCGGCUCCGCUCGGCGCCGCUCCGCAGGCUCGGGGGGGGUCGCAGCAGCGGCAGCUCCCACCCCGCCGGGCCCGGGGCUGCCCGCGGGCACCGCUACCCCGGCCCCGGGCACCGUCGGCACCAGCCGGGGAAGGCGGCGGCUGCGCGGGGGCGGCAGGAGGCGAGGCGAGGCGAGGGGCGCCCCGCGGAGAGGAGCGGAGCGGAGCGGAUCGCAACGCCCUCCGCUGCCGCAGCCGGGUCACGGAGCGGGGCGAAGGGAGGAGCCUGCGCCGGCAGAGCCGCCGGGCCGCCUGGCUGCCCUGCGGCCGGGGGCGCCGCCGUGCUGCCGUUGCGGCCCGACGGCCGCCGAGGCUGCGGGGGGCGAGGGCGGGGGGCUGCGGCCGCCCGCACCCCCAGCGGGGCUCGCCGGGCCUCGUCCCCUCCCCGCCCGCCGAGGGCCGCGGGCCCGGCCCGCCGCCAUUUCGGUGGGGCAGCGCCCAGCCGCCGUGGGCACGCGGGGGGGCCGAGCCCCGAGCCGGGCGGGAGCAGCGCUCGAGUUACCGAGGGGAGAGCCCGUGGGUGGGCAGGAAGGUUUCCGUGAGGAUGUAGUGCUCGGCGUGCUGCUCGCAGAAGGUCGUCAGGGCUGCGGAGCUGAAGCUGGAACAAGGCAAAUGAUACUUGGUGCAGCAAGGGAGCUCGCAGUGCCCAGUGGCAUUGAGAGAGGCUUAAAAAGCGUGUCAGGGGACAGAUACGCAGCUCACCCUGUCAGCCGGGGCAUGGCGAGGCCAUCUCCUUCCACUGUGCCUGUGGCUGUUCUGGCUGCUCAGCAUCCUCCAGACUGGGGUCAGCCAGAACAGCGACAGACUGGGGUCUGGAGGUACCACUCCUGGUGCUGGUGGCGACAGGUUUUGGUCCUGGCUCUAAGAACGGGAGGGGCUAAUUCAGGCGAGAAACAAAAGUCCUGCUUGUAUGACUGCUCGCCUUGGUUGCUUGCAUUUUUCCAACCGGUGGUUCACAAAGUGUGGAAUCAGGUGUUAUAA